rnacentral:pre_miRNA from 1 species
CUUGUACUCCCUCUGUCCGAAAAUACUCGUCAUUGAAAUGGAUGUAUCUAGAUGUAUUUAGUUCUAGACACAUCCAUUUUGAUGACAAGUAAUUCCGGACGAAGGGAGUACUUG